UCGAACGCGAAAGCCCCGCAAGGGGUUAGUAGAGUGGCAAACGGGUGAGUAACGCGUGGGUGACCUGCCUUCGAGCGGGGGAUAACGUUUCGAAAGGAACGCUAAUACCGCAUAACAUCCUGCCCUUGAACGGGUGGAGAUCAAAGCUGGGGAUUCGCAAGAACCCGGCACUUGAAGAGGGGCCCGCGUCUGAUUAGCUAGUUGGUGAGGUAACGGCUCACCAAGGCAACGAUCAGUAUCCGGCCUGAGAGGACGGACGGACACACUGGGACUGAGACACGGCCCAGACUCCUACGGGAGGCAGCAGUGGGGAAUUGUUCGCAAUGGGCGCAAGCCUGACGACGCAACGCCGCGUGGAGGAUGAAGAUUUUCGGAUCGUAAACUCCUGUCGAAUGGGACGAAAAGAUUGCGGGUUAACAGCCCGUAGUCCUGACGGUACCGUUAAAGGAAACCCCGGCUAACUCCGUACCAGCAGCCGCGGUAAUACGGGGGGGGUAAGCGUUGUUCGGAAUUACUGGGCGUAAAGGGCUCGUAGGCGGCCAACUAAGUCGGACGUGAAAUCCCUCAGCUUAACUGGGGAGCUGCGUCCGAUACUGGAUGGCUUGGAUUUGGGAGAGGGAUGCGGAAUUCCAGGUGUAGCGGUGAAAUGCGUAAAUAUCUGGAGGAACAC
rnacentral:rRNA from 1 species